rnacentral:rRNA from 1 species
AGAGUUUGAUCCUGGCUCAGAAUGAACGCUGGCGGCAGGCCUAACACAUGCAAGUCGAACGGGCACUUCGGUGCUAGUGGCGGACGGGUGAGUAACGCGUGGGAACGUGCCCUUUGGUUCGGAAUAGCCCCGGGAAACUGGGAGUAAUACCGGAUACGCCCUUCGGGGGAAAGAUUUAUCGCCAAAGGAUCGGCCCGCGUUGGAUUAGGUAGUUGGUGGGGUAAUGGCCUACCAAGCCGACGAUCCAUAGCUGGUUUGAGAGGAUGAUCAGCCACACUGGGACUGAGACACGGCCCAGACUCCUACGGGAGGCAGCAGUGGGGAAUCUUAGACAAUGGGGGAAACCCUGAUCUAGCCAUGCCGCGUGAUCGAUGAAGGCCUUAGGGUUGUAAAGAUCUUUCAGUUGGGAAGAUAAUGACGGUACCAACAGAAGAAGCCCCGGCUAACUCCGUGCCAGCAGCCGCGGUAAUACGGAGGGGGCUAGCGUUAUUCGGAAUUACUGGGCGUAAAGCGCACGUAGGCGGAUUGGAAAGACAGAGGUGAAAUGCCAGGG